UAUCAAUUCAUAGAAUAAUCAAGGCAUGACUCGGCACAAAUAGAAGACUACCAAACCAUUUUUUUAUUAAACUGUAAACUUUCAACCUAAAACUAAUCGGCGAUAGGUAUACAAAUUCAUAUCUUAUAUAUACCACUUAAAAUCCUACUCAACUUUUAAUGUAAAAUAUUUUUAAUACGAUCUCUCAAGAUGAUGAUUUUUCUAGCCAUUAAUCUUGAUUUAUUCGAGCAUGGAUCGAUGGGGCAAGUAUUGGGCCGAACUGAUAUGGAUUAGAUUGAGUAUGUGUAGAUCGGGCUCUGAUACCAUAUUAGAAAAGUAUGGAUCGAACUCUCAUAUCAUUUGAAUAGUAUUA
rnacentral:sRNA from 1 species